rnacentral:piRNA from 1 species
UAAACAACGCUAGGUUCAUCCACCCG